rnacentral:rRNA from 1 species
AUUGAACGCUGGCGGCAGGCCUAACACAUGCAAGUCGAACGGAUGAAGGGAGCUUGCUUCUGGAUCCAGCGGCGGACGGGUGAGUAAUGCCUAGGAAUCUGCCUGCUAGUACUGGAUAACGUCCCGAAAAGGGCGCUGAUACCGCAUCAGUACGGAGGGUCAACCUGGGGAAUCUUUGGACCUUACGCUAUCAGUUGAUCCUAGGUCGGCUUAGCUAGUUGGUGGGCUAAAGGUCUACCAAGGCGAUGAUCCGUAACUGGUCUGAGAGGAUGAUCAGUCACACUGGAAGUGGAACACGGGCCAGACUCCUACGGGAGGCAGCAGUGGGGAAUAUUGGACAGUGGGCGAAAGCCUGAUCCAGCCAUGCGGCGUGUGUGAAGAAGGUCUUCGGAUUGGAAAGCACUUUAAGUUGGGAGGAAGAGCAGUAUGUUAAUACCAAGCUGUUUUGACGGUACCAACAGAAUAAGCACCGGCUAACUCCGUG